rnacentral:rRNA from 1 species
UACGAAGGGGGCUAGCGUUGCUCGGAAUUACUGGGCGUAAAGCGCACGUAGGCGGCUCUUUAAGUCGGGGGUGAAAUCCUGGAGCUCAACUCCAGAACUGCCUUCGAUACUGAAGAGCUUGAGUCCGGGAGAGGUGAGUGGAAUUGCGAGUGUAGAGGUGAAAUUCGUAGAUAUUCGCAAGAACACCAGUGGCGAAGGCGGCUCACUGGCCCGGUACUGACGCUGAGGUGCGAAAGCGUGGGGAGCAAACAGG